rnacentral:rRNA from 1 species
GGGUGCAAUCAUACCAGCACUAAUGCAUUGGAUCCCAUCAAAACUCGACAAUUAAGUGUGCUUGGGCGAGAGAAGUUCUAGGAUGGGUGACCUCUUGGAAAGUCCUAGUGUUGCACUCC